rnacentral:rRNA from 1 species
CCUACGGGUGGCAGCAGUGGGGCAUAUUGCACAAUGGGGGAAACCCUGAUGCAGCGACGCCGCGUGAGCGAUGACAUAGUUCGGUGUGUAAAGCUCUAUCAGCAGAGACAUAAAUGACGUUACCUGACUAAGAAGCCUCGGCUAACUACGUGCCAGCCGCCGAGGUCAUACGGAGGGGGCAAGCGUUAUCCGGAUGGACCGGGCGUAAAGGGAGCGUAGACGGUUCUGCAGGCCAGAUGUGAAAGACCGGGGUUCAACCCCGGGACUGCAUGUGGCACUGUAAGGCUAGAGUAUCGGAGAGGCAGGCGGAAUUCCUAGUGUAGCGGUGAAAUGCGUAGAUAUUAGGAGGAACACCAGUGGCGAAGGCGGCCUGCUGAACGAUGACUGACGUUGAGGCUCGAAAGCGUGGGGAGCAAAUAGGAUUAGAUACCCGUGUAGUC